rfam:Camelus ferus unplaced genomic scaffold scaffold749, whole genome shotgun sequence.
GACGGUAUAGCUCAGUGGUAGAGUGUGUACUCAGCAUGCACAAGGUCCUGGGUUCGAUUCCCAGGACCACCA